GACGGCCCGAGCCGGCACGGACGGCCCCAGGAGAUUCGUCACGGAAACCUCGCCCCACCAAGGCGGCCCCUAAAGACAAAACGGCCCGCCCGAGGCUUAUAGGUGGAAGGGACUUGCCUUGUCUCAGGUGAUGUCUGAUGACCCUGACCUGUCUUCAGGAAAAAUCCUGUUAGAUCAGGUCCCUGCUGAAGAUGAGGAGGAAGAAUUACUGGUGAAAACCUGAAGUUUGAAAAAGUAAAUCCAAAUUGCUCUUUUGUCUAGUGUUUUGGGAAACAAGGAAGAGGGAAUGAAAUCUCUGUUUUAAAAUUUUAUUAUUUCUGUUAUUGCACAUUCACAAUUCACUAUAUUUCAUGCAUUCUUUAAAGAUCUAAUUUUUUUAAUUGGAUAUUGAAUAUCUACAAUGUGAUAACUAUAAAACACCUGUAAAACUUAAAUAACAAUACCAUGAUACCUAUAUAUUCAAUAUCUAGUUUAAGCAUAGGCUAUUAUUACCAUAACUUCG
ensembl:lncRNA novel transcript, antisense to CRY1